GCUUAUUUCUAGAGAUAGAAAGUUACUUCGGUACAUCGGUGACAGGUGGUGCAUGGUUGUCGUCAGCUCGUGUCGUGAGAUGUUGGGUUAAGUCCCGCAACGAGCGCAACCCCUAUUGUUAGUUGCCAUCAUUCAGUUGGGCACUCUAGCGAGACUGCCGGUAAUAAACCGGAGGAAGGUGGGGAUGACGUCAAAUCAUCAUGCCCCUUAUGACCUGGGCUACACACGUGCUACAAUGGUUGGUACAACGAGUUGCGAGUCGGUGACGGCGAGCUAAUCUCUUAAAGCCAAUCUCAGUUCGGAUUGUAGGCUGCAGCUCGCCUACAUGAAGUCGGAAUCGCUAGUAAUCGCGGAUCAGCACGCCGCGGUGAAUACGUUCCCGGGCCUU
rnacentral:rRNA from 1 species